rnacentral:sRNA from 1 species
CUUGCAUCAAAAAUCGAAGAAGCACCUAGAAGAAUAAGAGAUGUGAUUAAUGUAUUCCACCACCUCCGCCAGUUAAGAGGAAAAAGCGACCAGCUACAUUUACCAAAGCCUGGGUGAUGUGGAGUGGUACAUAGAGAUGAAGCUGUCGUCAUGGCAACAGUGAGUGAAGUAUCGAAAAUCCCCAAGGAGAAGCCAGUGCUCUGAGAAUAGGUCACUGGAAUCGGGGACUAACAGGACUCCAAGCCCCCUGAUCCUUGAUCAGAACUACAUUAACACCAAAAAUCAAGUUAUCAAAGCAGAGAGGAGGGUGCUAAAGGAGUUGGGAUUUUGUGUUCAUGUCAAGCAUCCUCAUAAGAUCAUUGUUAUGUAUUUACAAGUCUUAGAAUGUGAACGUAAUCAAACCCUGGUUCAAACUGCCUGGUAAGUCACUUUUUUAGAUUUCUUUCCUAGCCAGGAAAACAGAAGCAGAAAUAAAGUAAGUUUCGUUUUCCCUUUCCAAAAUAAUGAGAUAAGUUUGGGGCUUUUCGUUGUUUUUUGUUUGUUUGUUUUUUUAACCAAAAGGUAAAUAAUGCUUAUUU